rnacentral:rRNA from 1 species
CUAACACAUGCAAGUUCGAGCGGAAACGACACUAACAAUCCUUCGGGUGCGUUAAUGGGCGUCGAGCGGCGGACGGGUGAGUAAUGCCUAGGAAAUUGCCUUGAUGUGGGGGAUAACCAUUGGAAACGAUGGCUAAUACCGCAUAAUGCCUACGGGCCAAAGAGGGGGACCUUCGGGCCUCUCGCGUCAAGAUAUGCCUAGGUGGGAUUAGCUAGUUGGUGAGGUAAUGGCUCACCAAGGCGACGAUCCCUAGCUGGUCUGAGAGGAUGAUCAGCCACACUGGAACUGAGACACGGUCCAGACUCCUACGGGAGGCAGCAGUGGGGAAUAUUGCACAAUGGGCGAAAGCCUGAUGCAGCCAUGCCGCGUGUAUGAAGAAGGCCUUCGGGUUGUAAAGUACUUUCAGUUGUGAGGAAGGGGGUAGCGUUAAUAGCGCUAUCUCUUGACGUUAGCAACAGAAGAAGCACCGGCUAACUCCGUGCCAGCAGCCGCGGUAAUACGGAGGGUGCGAGCGUUAAUCGGAAUUACUGGGCGUAAAGCGCAUGCAGGUGGUUCAUUAAGUCAGAUGUGAAAGCCCGGGGCUCAACCUCGGAACUGCAUUUGAAACUGGUGAACUAGAGUACUGUAGAGGGGGGUAGAAUUUCAGGUGUAGCGGUGAAAUGCGUAGAGAUCUGAAGGAAUACCAGUGGCGAAGGCGGCCCCCUGGACAGAUACUGACACUCAGAUGCGAAAGCGUGGGGAGCAAACAGGAUUAGAUA